UUGCCCUCCCGGAGCUUGGCGGUGCUCCGGGGAGUCAACACAGGGGGAUAGAGCAGCUUUCCCUCACUAAAACCCAGUGCGGAGCCCUUCCCCUCCGCCCUGCAUCCUGUCGUGAGGCACAGAU